GAUGAACGCUGGCGGCGUGCCUAAUACAUGCAAGUCGAGCGAACGGACGAGAAGCUUGCUUUUCUGAUGUUAGCGGCGGACGGGUGAGUAACACGUGGAUAACCUACCUAUAAGACUGGGAUAACUUCGGGAAACCGGAGCUAAUACCGGAUAAUAUUUUGAACCGCAUGGUUCAAAAGUGAAAGACGGUCUUGCUGUCACUUAUAGAUGGAUCCGCGCUGCAUUAGCUAGUUGGUAAGGUAACGGCUUACCAAGGCAACGAUGCAUAGACGACCUGAGAGGGUGAUCGGCCACACUGGAACUGAGACACGGUCCAGACUCCUACGGGAGGCAGCAGUAGGGAAUCUUCCGCAAUGGGCGAAAGCCUGACGGAGCAACGCCGCGUGAGUGAUGAAGGUCUUCGGAUCGUAAAACUCUGUUAUUAGGGAAGAACAUAUGUGUAAGUAGCUGUGCACAUCUUGACGGUACCUAAUCAGAAAGCCACGGCUAACUACGUG
rnacentral:rRNA from 1 species